AGGGUUCGAUCAUGGCUCAGGAUGAACGCUGGCGGCGUGCUUAACACAUGCAAGUCGAACGAAGCACUUGAAACGGAUUCUUCGGAUGAAGUUUCCUGUGACUGAGUGGCGGACGGGUGAGUAACGCGUGGGUAACCUGCCUCAUACAGGGGGAUAACAGUUAGAAAUGGCUGCUAAUACCGCAUAAGCGCACAGCAUCGCAUGAUGCAGUGUGAAAAACUCCGGUGGUAUGAGAUGGACCCGCGUUGGAUUAGCUAGUUGGCAGGGUAACGGCCUACCAAGGCGACGAUCCAUAGCCGGCCUGAGAGGGUGGACGGCCACAUUGGGACUGAGACACGGCCCAG
rnacentral:rRNA from 1 species